rnacentral:lncRNA from 1 species
UAGCAUGCUCGACAGCUUCAUGAGAUCAUUGACAUGGGUAAACCAGAAUGUGAAAUGCUGGGAUCAUUCACAUAUGAAACAUUUUACAUUUUCGUUUUCCACAUAAGUUCACAUGCAACUUCAUAGAUUAUAAUCUUCUGUUCAGUAUACACACAAUGCAAAAAAAAGAGUUGUAGAAGUCCAUAGUGCACAAAUAUUGCGUGUCGUUUACGCAUGACGAAAAAUAGGUACGUAAGUGGCACUUUGAUGGACACUAGAAGCAAAAAAAAAAAAAUAGCAGCCAAGUCAAGCCAUUAUGGUGAUCUGGUGCCGGUUGUUGGACCGACACACAAGGCUAAAGAACAAUAGGAGCAGGAGCCUAAUUGUAUUAUUACGCUUGGGUGUCCAUUCGGCUCCUCUUGCAGGAGCCCAGCACUAUUCCAAGGACGCUGCUCCUGAGCUGUAAGCACAAAAGAGAAAUGUCGCACCCUGACGGCGUGUCAGCGGCACCGACCUGUAGCCGCGGCCCAAUGUGCCGCGCACCUGCUGGAAACGGAAGCCUGCAGCCGCCGCGCCCUCCCACAUGUCCCCGCACCUGAGCUGGCCGCCUGCAGUAAAUAAGCUCAAGUCAGCUGCGGCGGGGCCGGUGUCGGGUUCGCCCGCGACAGCACUCUCGCGGCCCGCAGGCCUGAUUUGAUUACUGCUAACGCCUGCCGGGCCGGGCCAAACCGUUCCUCGUUCACCGCGGCCGCUGGUGGUAAUAUCCAGGUCAAGGUGAUGUUGGAGGCUACGACGCGGAGUGAUGAUGCUGCAGUCAACUCAGUUUUGUGUCUGUGUGCGCAUUUGAAUGGCUGCGUGCUCCGGGGUCGUGUCCUCCUUCAACUGGAAGUCGCUGGACAGGAAGUUGUCUCAGAUUGUGGAGCAGCAGAGGAUUGGUUCAGGAGAGAGAGAGUCCAGAGAACGUCUGUCCUCACCAAUCAAAAAGGCAAUGCAGAAGGAUGACCCGGCCAUGGUCGAUCUGUAUGAGCAGCAGAGAAAGCUGGAGGACAACCAGUGUUUACUGGCAGAGCUGGCACGCAUUGAGCAGGAGUUGCGGGAGACCCUGCGGUCGGAGGAGGAGCGUCAGAAGAUGGAAGAACAGCUGCGCCAGGAGGAGAACCGGCAGCGCUGGAAGAGCCUGUGCUACCUCAGCCUCAAUCAGAGAACCACAAAGCCCUGGGUGACAAGCUAUUACAAAAACAUCCCGAUGCACAUCUACUGCCUCCCCAUUAACUCGGUGCACAAGAACAGCAAGAAGAAAAGGAAGAAGAAGUCAUGAUGAUGAUGUGAAAUUGAACUGUUUUUGAUCACGUCAACAAGAUGUUGGCUUGAAGAUGUUCAUAACCUUUCCUACUUGUUAAAGUUUCAUCAUUGAAAGGUGCCUUGCCAACAAAUUUUUUAGGCAUUUGAUUUAUGAUGGCAUUUAGUAUGUUAGUUUCAUAAUUUAUAAUACGAUAAUAGGAAGAAGCCAUAGAACCACCAGUGUUAAUAAAGCACAUCCAGCUCACUGAAUGCA